rfam:TPA: Bos taurus chromosome 15, whole genome shotgun sequence.
GUUGCUGCUGCUCGCCAUCGAUCCCACCACUGCCACCACUGCUGCUACUGCUCCGCAGGUGCUGCUGGUGGUGAUGAUGAUAGUCCGGCGGGGGCGCUGGGGCCGCGG